GACGAACGCUGGCGGCGUGCUUAACACAUGCAAGUCGAACGAUGAAGAAAAGAAUCGAAGCUUCGGCAGAAAUUCAUUUCGGAUUAGUGGCAGACGGGUGAGUAACGCGUGAGCAACCUACCUCUUACAAAGGGAUAGCCUCGGGAAACCGGGAUUAAUACCAUAUAACAUUGCGACGAAGCAUUUCGAUGCAAUCAAAGCUACGGCGGUAAGAGAUGGGCUCGCGUCCCAUUAACCGGAUGGUGAGGUAACGGCUCACCAUAGUGACGAUGGGUAACCGGCCUGAGAGGGUGAACGGUCACACUGGAACUGAGACACGGUCCAGACUCCUACGGGAGGCAGCAGUGGGGAGUAUUGCACAAUGGAGGGAACUCUGAUGCAGCGACGCCGCGUGAGUGAUGAAGGAAUUCGUUUCGUAAAACUCUGUUCUAUGGGAAGAAAAGGACUGUACCAUAGGAGAAAGCUCCGGCUAAAUACGUG
rnacentral:rRNA from 1 species